rnacentral:rRNA from 1 species
CUGAACGCUGGCGGCGUGGCUAAGACAUGCAAGUCGAACGGGUGUGUAGCAAUACACCAGUGGCGCACGGGUGAGUAAUGUAUCGCUAACGUGCCCCGGAGUCUGGGAUAGCUGCCCGAAAGGGCAGGUAAUACCGGAUGAGACCACGAACAGGCAUCUGUUUGUGCUCAAGCCGCAAGGCGCUCUGGGAGCGGGCGAUAUCGUUAUCAGCUAGUUGGCGGGGGUAACGGCCCACCAAGGCUGCGACGCGUAGCUGGUCUGAGAGGACAGCCAGCCACAUCGGGACUGAGACCACUGCCCCGGACUCCUACGGGGGGCUGCAGUAACGAAUCUUCCGCAAUGCACGAAAGUGUGACGGAGCGACGCCGCGUGGAGGACGAAGUCCUUCGGGAUGUAAACUCCUGUCAGGGGUUACCAAGUUCUGAGGAACCCCAGAGGAAGGCACGGCUAACUCUGUGCCAGCAGCCGCGGUAAGACAGAGGUGCCAAGCGUUAGGCGGAAUCACUGGGCUUAAAGCGCGUGUAGGUGGCGGCCUAUAAGUACCUUGUGAAAUCCUGCGGCUCAACCGCAGAACUGCUUGGUAUACUGGGUCGCUUGAGCCAUCCAGGGCAACUGGAACAAGCGGUGGAGCGUGAAAUGCGUUAGAUAUCGCUUGGAACGCCAAAGGUGAAAACAGGUUGCUGGGGAUGAGCUGACACUGAGACGCGAAAGCCAGGGGAGCGAACGGGAUUAGAUACCCCGGUAGUCCUGGCCCUAAACGAUGUCCACUAGAUCAUGGGACCUUUGACGGGUUUCAUGGUCGAAGCAAAAGUGCUAAGUGGACCGCCUGGGAAGUACGGUCGCAAGGCUAAAACUCAAAGGAAUUGACGGGGGCUCACACAAGCGGUGGAGGCAUGUGGUUUAAUUCGAAGCAACGCGCAGAACCUUACCUGGGCUUGACAUGCCAGGAUUAUCCUUGUGAAAGCAGGGUACAGCCCGCAAGGGCCGGAAACUGGUACAGGUGCUGCAUGGCUGUCGUCAGCUCGUGUCGUGAGAUGUCGGGUUAAGUCCCUUACCGAGCGAAACCUUUGCCCUUAGUUACCAUCGGGUUAUGCCGGGACUCUAAGGGGACUGCCGGUGUCAAACCGGAGGAAGGUGAGAUGACGUCAAGUCCUCAUGGCCUUUAUGCCCAGGGCCACACACGUGCUACAAUGCGGCGCACAGAGCGAACCUAAAACGCGAGUUCAUGGAAAUCGCAGAAAUCGCCCGCCCAGUUCAGAUCGGAGGCUGCAACUCGCCUCCGUGAAGUUGGAAUCGCUAGUAAUCGCGGAUCAGCUACGCCGCGGUGAAUGUGUUCCUGAGCCUUGUACACACCGCCCGUCAAGUCAUGGGAGCCGGGAAUGGCCGAAGUAGCCACACUACUGUGGUUCCUACGCCAGGCUCGGUGACUGGGACU